UAUUAUUAUUAUACUAGCGUUAAUGCACCGGAUCCCAUAAGAACUCCUCAGUUAAGCACGCUUGGGCUAGAGUAGUACUAGGAUGGGUGACCUCGUGGGAAUUCCUAGUGUUGCACCCU
rnacentral:rRNA from 1 species